AGUGGUUCCCACGGUUGUCUUAGAAACCAGACCCCGAGGCUUGGCAGAGCAGGAGCCCUCGGUGGCAGUGCUUGGGUGUCGAGGCUCUGAGGCUCCGGCCUCACCUCUCCACGGGGUCGAAGGGAACGUCUCCGGAUGCCAGGAGUCGCAAAGGGCCGACCAUGAUGAUGAAACCCCAGGCAGAGACGGGGGAAGCAGCACGGGAUCCCAGCCUCAGGCCUGCACGGACGGUGUUGGUUGGGAGACGAGGUCUCACUAUAUUGACCAGGCUGGUCUUGAACUCCUGGCCUUAAGCGAUCCUCCUGCCUUGGCCUCCCAAAGUGCUGGAGUUACAGAUGUGAGCCUCUGUGCUCAGUCCAUCCUUGGCUGUUCAAGUGUAGAGCCCUCAGCAACCACCACCUCGAUCAGUCACUAGCUAUCAACAUUGAGACAAGACCAUCCAGCAGCAAAAUGAUGAUGACUUACUGAAGGCCCAGAUGAUGGUUAGCAGUUUUUGGCAAUCACGUAUUUUCAAAGUAAGGUAUAUACAUUAUAUUUUAGACAUAAUGCUAUUGCACACUUAAUUGACUACAGUAACUUAAACAUAACUUUUUUUUUUGAGAUGGAGUCUGGCUCUGUUGCCCAGGUUGGAGUGCAGUGGUGCAAUCUUGGCUCAUUGCAAACUCUGCCUCCCAGGUUCAAACAAUUCUCCUGCCUCAGCCUCCUGAGUAGCUGGGACUACAGGUGCGCACCACCAUUUUUGUAUUUCCGGUAGACACAGGGUUUCGCCAUGUUAGCCAGGCUGGUCUUGAACUUCUGACCUCAGGUGAUGCACCCACCUCGGCCUCCCAGUGUGCUGGGAUUACAGGCGUGAGCCACCAUGCCUGGCAACAUAACAUUUAUAUGCACCAGAAAGCAAAAAAUAUCGUGUGACUUGCAAAAAAUUUCGUGUGACUUGCGCUGUUGUGACAUUCACCUUAUUGUGUUACCUAGAACCAAACCUGCAAUAUCUCCAAGGUGUGCCUGUAUCCCUAGAAGCAGAGCUGGAGUAAGGACUUCGGUGUGGGUGGUUUAUUUGGAAAGUGAUUCCAAGAAGCAAGAGUCAGAAGUGGGAAGAGUGAGCCAGGCAAGAAAGAAAAGCCAAAAUAAUGGCAUGCUAUUGAGGCUCCUGCCAUGCAGUUUUUUCUGCAGGACCUUCCGAGAGGCUCCGGAAAGUUAUCCAGAAAUGCCCACCUGAAACAUGAGCCUGGAGCAUUUGUCCACCUGUCCCACACUGGUUGAGGUCUUCCCCUGAGGCUGUUAACCUGCAAGUGUUUCUGGGCUGUAUUUGUGCUCAGGCAAAAUCGUACAAUAAUGGAGAUUCCCUAGGGCAGAAAGUGUAUCUUGAGUUUGCUGGCAGCACAAGAGAAGCCUGUGCUUCCAUGGAACUUCUCACGGUGUCUGAGACUGAAUGAAAGGUGAGCUGAGAAAACAUGACGCAGGCGCCAUUGCACUAAGCAAUCAUAGCCAUCGAUCUGGGCAAGAGGACCCCUGCCCUGAAUCCUGCACUUGAGAAGGUGCCUCUCUGGCCCUCCACUGACUGUACCCUGGCCCACUCAGAGCUUCACCCUCUCUUCUAGGGCACAUGCUGGGCACUCAGGGACCUGGCGAAAUGUGCCUGAGCCUGCAUGGCCUCUUCCCUGGGUCCAUUUCAAAGUGCAAACUGUGCUUGUCCAAAUGGUGCCCAAGGAUCUGCUUUCUGAAGGGGUGAGAAUUGUGGAUGGAGCUUGCAUGGGGCCUAGGGAGUUCCCCACACAAGGGUUUGCAAAGCUUCUCAAGUGAGGACAGGGCUACCUACGAUGAAAGAAAAAAGUUUAGCCUGGGGCUGAUGAUCAGCUCUCCCUUUACUACCACAUUCCUGUGCAGAGCACCAAGAAAUCAGAGAAUUCUACACUCAACUUUGACCUUGUGGGUUAUUAUGGCAGUAUAUUUAUCGAAAUAGGAGAAUAGAACAUAUUUAACUAUUUGUUAGCUUCAUUUAUAACUCAUAAUUAUUUAGACAUAAUGCAAAUGUGGGCUGGAAUUUACGUUCUGAUUUUUUGUGGCCUUGAGCUAAGGAAAAGGGACCCAAGGAAAUGGGCUUUAUAUGCUUGGAUGGCUUUGUGGAAUCCCCAACUUCAUUAGCUUCUGUGGUGACUCAAGAUUGUUACUAAAAUCCACUUUGUAUUAUCUUUAAAAACCAAGGAAUAUUAUGUAGAUCAGUAGUUAGAAGGUACUUGACUCAAAAUAUGUAUGAACCAAAGGAUAUAAAUGACUAAAAGCAGAAGGAUUAUUACCUGAAGUGGUGGAAGGUUGAUCUCAGGAUAUGACCUGUGAGAUCCUUCCUGCUGGCUCAGUGCUGGCUGAACGGGGGGUAGGAGAGCACCAGGAACAACACACAUCUGGGACAGGAGGGAAUCCGGGGAGGAAGGAAAGAGAAAUAGGCCUUUUUAUUUUUAUUGAUACAUGACAAUUAUACAUAUUUGUAGGGUACAUGUGAUAUUUUGAUACAUGCAUACAAUGUGUAGUGAUCAAAUCAGGAUAAUUUGCAUAUCCAUCACCUCAAACAUUUAUCAUUUAUUUGUGUUGAGAACAUUCCACAUCUUUCCUCUACUCAUUUUGAAAUAUAUAAGUUAUUGUUAAUGAUCAUCACCCUACUGUGCUAUUGAACACUAGAAAUUUUUCUGUUCCUUCCAUCUAACUGUAUUUUUGUGUCCAUUAACCAACUUCUGGGAAGGGCAAAAGAGUGGGUGGAUGAAAAGGGCCCUUUUUAAGGAAAAGUAAAUCUUACAAGAAGGGAAGACAUCUUAGGAGGAAAAAUAAAAAGGUGGACCAUGGGCUUAGAGUAGGGACUGCAGAAAUUGAAUGGCAAAGAAAAAACCAACUUAGCAAUGUGAAAAUACAUCUCAAUGUCAUUCUUUUCGCAGGUCCAGUGUCUGAUUCUUUUGGGAAGCUGGAUAUGAAGUCAGAAUCUUUCUUUGAGUCAUACAUUUUCAUGAUUAUGAUUAUUAUUGAAUGAUAGCUGACAAUUAUUGAGAGCAAUUAUUGAGGACAAUUAUUGAGCUUUCACAAGCCCUUUUCAAAGGUCUUUACAUAUAUUUUCUCCACUUCUAACUGUUAGAUAUUCUUAUUAUUCCCAUUUUGUAGAUGAGGGAUACACAGGCAUAAAGCCUAUGUGGAGGCAGAGAGCAGCUACGUAACCUGACCAUGGCCCAACAGCAAACAAAUGAUGGGGCCACAUGCAAAUCCAGGCAGAAUCCUUCUAUUAUAUGAAGCUCAAUGUUUUCUUGUUUGCAGCUUGUUAUGAAUACAUCUAUUUGCAAAUGGGUUUUGAAGCUACUUUAAAACAUUUUGUGGCUGUGCGUGGUGGCUGGCACCUGUAAUCCCAGCAUUAUGGGAGACCAAGGUGGGCAGAUUGCCUGAGCUCAGGAGUUUGAGACCAACCUG
ensembl:lncRNA FAM27C family with sequence similarity 27 member C